CAACAGUGGGAGUCCAUCUUCGGAGGCUCCCUGUUGAUGCAGCUUACUGCUGCAUCAACUUUAGUUGCAGAAUCCCAGGAAGUAGCCUCAGAGGAAUAAAAUGGGUAUGAACUGGAGAGGAGUUGACCAUAAGUUUAAAUAUUUAGUCUGUCUUAAACCAUUCUUCCAUAAUCAAUUCCUUGACAGUAUCAUUGGCAGGGAAAGUCACUAUUUUUUUCUGCCAGAAAAAUAAUGGAUUGAGGAUGUCUCAACUCUUGCCAACUUCUUUAUAUUAAAUUAUCUACUCACUUUGGAUAUCAAAUGGUCUGAUCCUGAAAUUCUGAAGAAUGGUUCCUCCCUAGACGCAGACAACGUUCCUUUGUUAAUGUCUGUAGCCUUGUAACCAACAGAAGAAUCCUCAUCAGAUGUCUUGGCCUUUUGCGUGAUUGACGGGCCUCCUUAAUGCCCUGUGAAAAUGUGGCUAGGAAAUAAAUAAAUAUACAUAUGUAUAUAUUAAAAUGUGCAGUAUACCAUAAUCCUCUGUCUCUCUAGUUACCACUGCUUAGGGGAUGAGCUUUUCAAUUCUGAAAUCAUAGUGAAAGUACUGGUGUUACUAAUCUCUGAACUGUGGAGAACUGAAUCUGAAAGACAAUUUAGAAUACAAUAGAAACAUUAUGGGGGGAAAAAAACAGCUUAGAUUUUUCUAACAGAGUGGUUAUGCUGCUUAAAAUGCCCCUUACUUUUAAGAGAGCAAAUGUGAAUUCUAAGACAUUUGGAGUUCUAACUAUGUGGGGACGAAGAAUUUAUAAAUAUCUUAUUCUUGAAGGAUCGCUGUAGAAUGUCAUCACGAGUGAAUUUGUUUUUAGAAAUUCAGUGUAGAGAGUGCACUUGUUAAAUGAUUUCAGUAGUGAUGACAAACAAAUUUUACCGUGCUCUGAAUAUAUAAAAUGUACGCACACAAAUAAACAAUACUUCUGUGCAUAAAGCCAGAAAGGAGUAUAAUGUAAUAAACUUCUCAAAACCUUGAGGUGAAGAACUCAACAGCUAUAACAACAGAGAAAAAAAAUAAGCGGGCACACGGUAUAAUCAAC